GACGAACGCUGGCGGCGUGCUUAACGCAUGCAAGUCGAACGGAAAGGCCCUGCUUUUGUGGGGUGCUCGAGUGGCGAACGGGUGAGUAACACGUGAGUAACCUGCCCUUGACUUUGGGAUAACUUCAGGAAACUGGGGCUAAUACCGGAUAGGAGCUCCUGCUGCAUGGUGGGGGUUGGAAAGUUUCGGCGGUUGGGGAUGGACUCGCGGCUUAUCAGCUUGUUGGUGGGGUAGUGGCUUACCAAGGCUUUGACGGGUAGCCGGCCUGAGAGGGUGACCGGCCACAUUGGGACUGAGAUACGGCCCAGACUCCUACGGGAGGCAGCAGUGGGGAAUAUUGCACAAUGGGCGGAAGCCUGAUGCAGCAACGCCGCGUGCGGGAUGACGGCCUUCGGGUUGUAAACCGCUUUCGCCUGUGACGAAGCGUGAGUGACGGUAAUGGGUAAAGAAGCACCGGCUAACUACGUGCCAGCAGCCGCGGUGAUACGUAGGGUGCGAGCGUUGUCCGGAUUUAUUGGGCGUAAAGGGCUCGUAGGUGGUUGAUCGCGUCGGAAGUGUAAUCUUGGGGCUUAACCCUGAGCGUGCUUUCGAUACGGGUUGACUUGAGGAAGGUAGGGGAGAAUGGAAUUCCUGGUGGAGCGGUGGAAUGCGCAGAUAUCAGGAGGAACACCAGUGGCGAAGGCGGUUCUCUGGGCCUUUCCUGACGCUGAGGAGCGAAAGCGUGGGGAGCGAACAGGCUUAGAUACCCUGGUAGUCCACGCUGUAAACGGUGGGUACUAGGUGUGGGGUCCAUUCCACGGGUUCCGUGCCGUAGCUAACGCUUUAAGUACCCCGCCUGGGGAGUACGGCCGCAAGGCUAAAACCCAAAGGAAUUGACGGGGCCCCGCACAAGCGGCGGAGCAUGCGGAUUAAUUCGAUGCAACGCGUAGAACCUUACCUGGGUUUGACAUGGAUCGGGAGCGCUCAGAGAUGGGUGUGCCUCUUUUGGGGUCGGUUCACAGGUGGUGCAUGGCUGUCGUCAGCUCGUGUCGUGAGAUGUCGGGUUAAGUCCCGCAACGAGCGCAACCCUUGUUCACUGUUGCCAGCACGUUAUGGUGGGGACUCAGUGGAGACCGCCGGGGUCAACUCGGAGGAAGGUGGGGAUGACGUCAAGUCAUCAUGCCCCUUAUGUCCAGGGCUUCACGCAUGCUGCAAUGGCUGGUACAGAGAGUGGCGAGCCUGUGAGGGUGAGCGAAUCUCGGAAAGCCGGUCUCAGUUCGGAUUGGGGUCUGCAACUCGACCUCAUGAAGUCGGAGUCGCUAGUAAUCGCAGAUCAGCAACGCUGCGGUGAAUACGUUCCCGGG
rnacentral:rRNA from 1 species